UUCGGGCAGAAUCCUGAACAAAUGUCUUGUUCGAAGUUGACUGGAAGCAGGAAUAAAAAUGUGUUUGUGUGCUUCAUCCUAAGAUAUAGCUACAAUUGACAUAUUAGAGAUGUCUCCCAGUAAUUGAAGUAUUCUAUAUGUUUUUCCAAACAUUAUUUCUAUGGGAUGUUAUAGUACCUUAGAAGCUAAGAAGCAUUUUGUAGCAGAGAUUAACUGAAAGAAAAAAAAGUUGGUAGCAUAAGCUUUUAUAAACUACUUAGAUUUAGGAUCAGCCUUCUAUCUCACCAAAAUCACAUUAGUUAGGGGAAUGGAAACAUUCCAGGAUAAGUAUGUUCAUUAUCUCACAUUUCCACAGUAGCGCUAUGGUGUUGGUUUGGUGAUCUACAGUCACACAUUCUAUCAAGACAUAGUCACAGGUUUUAUCCAUCAACACAGAGAUGUGCUACUUUUGUGAAGGAAGGAAAAUCUGCAUCAGGAUGCGCACAACAUCAUGUGAUAGCUACCAGCAAUCAUUAAGGUCAUCCUGCUGCCAGUUUGCAAGCCUUGUGUAAUAAUGUCCUUGGCCAAAGAAAGCUUAUGCUACUUUAGACAGGGCUGAAACAUCUACCUAACAGCAUCCUUCAGUUGGUACUGGAGGCUAAGAUGAGCCCUGAAACUGAGCAGGAGGGCAAACAACAGACAAUAAUUUUGGCCAAAGUUUCUACCAAACAUCAGCACUGACUCCAACCUAUUCACAUCACAGGCCAAUAUAAAUAAAGUUUGUUUUAAGCCCCAGUAUUUCAUAGAACAUCAGAGUCAGCAGAGAAAGCAACAAAGCAUAUAUGAACAGUAUAUAAUACAUUGUAAGGUAAUCCUUAUGCAAGGUCUAUAUGACAGAAUGUAGCCUGAGACUGUUGUUUAAGAAUCAUAGAAUCAUAGAAUAGUAGAGUUGGAAGAGACCUCAUGGGCCAUCCAGUCCAACCCCCUGCCAAGAAGCAGGAAAUCGCAUUCAAAGCACCCCCGACAGAUGGCCAUCCAGCCUCUGCUUAAAAGCCUCCAAGGAAGGAGCCUCCACCACAGCCCGGGGGAGAGAGUUCCACUGUCGAACAGCCCUCACAGUGAGGAAGUUCUUCCUGAUGUUCAGGUGGAAUCUCCUUUCCUGUAGUUUGAAGCCAUUGUUGGAAGUCAUAGGGAGGAGGGAGCAAGCUUGUUUUCUGCUGCCCUGCAGACUAGGACACGGAACAAUGGCUUCAAACUACAGGAAAGGAGAUUCCACCUGAACAUCAGGAAGAACUUCCUCACUGUGAGGGCUGUUCGACAGUGGAACUCUCUCCCCCGGGCUGUGGUGGAGGCUCCUUCCUUGGAGGCUUUUAAGCAGAGGCUGGAUGGCCAUCUGUCGGGGGUGCUUUGAAUGCGAUUUCCUGCUUCUUAGCAGGGGGUUGGACUGGAUGGCCCAUGUGGUCUCUUCCAACUCUACUAUUCUAUGAUUCUAUGAAAGGCGAAGAGAUCCUGAGACCCUCUUUACCCUAGCCCUGAGCUGCUAUCAAAAAGGUCUAUAACUAUCUAAGCUCAAAGCUAGUUUUUGAGGCAAAGUUGGUAGGGCCUAUUCCAGUGGCAAAGAAAUCCAGAGAUGUUCUUUGCCCCAGUGUUAAGCUACUAGAAAGAAC
rnacentral:lncRNA from 1 species